UUCUUUUUUCUGUGUCAUUAAUUCUAAAUUUAACGUUUGUCAAUUUCCAUUUCCUGGUUUUUGUUUCUAAAUUUUUGAGAGGAAUAGUUAGUUCCUUUAAUUUUUGGUUUUAUUUUUAAAUUGUGAGGCAUUGGAGAACUCUAAAGGCUCUCAAGUACCAUUCUCAAGGUCCUGUCUGGUGCAAUAGAAAGUGAUUUCCUUUUCAUUGGUUUCUAGAUACUUAGCAACUCCCCUUUUAUUUCCUUUUUGAUCCAAGACUUAUCUAAGAGUUUGUUCUUUAAUUUCUAACUACAAAAAGUUUUUUAGGUCAUUUUUUAUGAUGUAUGUAUUUUUCAGUUUUUGAUUAGAGAAUAUGACCUAUAAAUUCUGUUGUUGUUGUUGUUGGUUGUUGUUAAAGCUUUCUGUGACCAAGCAUAUCAAAAAUGUUUAUACAAGGUUUUCAUUUUUAUGAAAAAAUAAAUCUUUUUUUCCCAAGCUCCAUGUUCAUGUAGAAAAAAAAAUUCUAUUUGUGAGAUGCAAGAAGUCUUGAUAUGUGCUGCAUCAAAUUGUUUGAUUAUUCAGUUCAUCUGAGUAAUUUUUUGACUAGUGUAACUGUGUAUUAUUUUGUUGGUCUGGGUGCCUUUUGACUAUUAAUUCUGGGUAAUUGUGAGAAAGGAAUUUUGAAAUCUUAAUUAUAAUUGUACAUUUAUAAAGCACUUCUUGCCUUUAUGAUUUAGUUCUUUGAUGCCCAGGAUUGCUGUGUCAUCUUUAUUAUUUGUGCCUUAAAUCAUGUGGGAUGUUCCUUUUACCAUACUCUCAGUGCUUUUAGCCUCAAGUUUCCCCUGCUUUUAUAAUAAUGUUGCCACACUUGCCUUCCUUUUUCAUUUGUAUAAUAUGUCUUUGCCUAUCAUUUUAUUUUCAGCCUUUUAUUAUCACUUUGUUUCAAGUAUAAAUCACUAUUUCCAAUGACCCACAUCUCCACCUUAGUGUUUUCCUAACACUUCAAGCUUUAGCUUUCUAACACUGAGCUCAUUUUCUCUGUGAAACCUUUUUCUUGUCUUUAUUUUUCAGCUGAGUGGUGAUGGAAAGCUUUUGUUGAGACACACCUAAUCACUAUUCAGCUACGGUAUCCAGAUACUCUUCUGCUGGGCAGUCUGUCUCCCACUCAGCCUGGGAGCUCAGAUGGUGUUCUCUCAUGCCACUCCAGGGAUGGACAUGUGACUGCAGUCUGGCCAACUAGACAUCGCCUUCUUCUAGCCUCACAGGACCCACACAGAACUAAUGCUGUGCAAUCGGACUCCAGAAAAUGGCCCUUCUCUUUCAGAAGAGGGCCACAGAGCGCAGCCCUUGUUGAAAAUCAGACGACUGCUGGGCUCAAAUCCUGGCUCUGUCUCUUAUUUGAAAUUUGGGGCUAGUUACUUAAACUGUUUCCAUGUUCCUAACUUUAAAAUAGCACCUAUCUUACAGGAUUGCUGUGAAAAUGAUAUAUGAACACAUGUUGAAAUGUAGAGCAGUGCCUCUGACAUAGUAGCAAAUACAGGUGAUAACUGUGGCUAUCAUCUUCCCUUGCCCAGGAUCUGGGAGGACAAGGCUGAAGCUAUCGACAGUACAGGGUACGUGAAGCUGAGAAGAAACGAAACCAGCAUAAAGGAGAGCAGAGUGAGAAGAGACCCUAGGGCCCCGAACACAGAAUGGAAUCAAAUGGGCAUCUUGAAAGUAGAAAACCUGCUUGUUGCCAUUGUAUCCCUAGCACCUCACAUAGGCUGUAAGAUCUUUUAGGCUGACAGACGGCCCCAUGGAUGCCUGUUAACCUGUGACCUGCAUGGAUACUCCAGAUGAGUUCCUGGAAAAUCUUAAAUAACUGGAAGCCCAUGAAAAGAGGAAGAAAUGAUCAACCCCUGCUUAACUUUGAGACAUUCCCUAUUGUUUCUUAUUCCCACCCCAAUUGAUAAGGCCAUUGGACUUUGUAGCCAACCUUGGUCAACCUUGCCACUCCACACCCUUCGACCCCCUCCCAGCUCGCAAACCUAUGACCCCUCCCAGCUCGCAGAAAACUACCCUAAACUGUAACUUCCGUAACUUUCUACUGCCCACACCAAACCAAUAAACCAACUCCUAGCCCAUUGCCAUUCACUGACUCCCUUUUUGGUUUCAGCCUCCCGCACCUGAGUGAAUAAACAGCCAUGUUGCUCACACAAAGCCUGUUUGGGGGUGGGGGUCUCUUCAUUCAGAGCAUGCAUUUUAAUGUAGGCUUCUUGUGUAUAUAUAGUAGGUGCUCACUAUGUACUUGUUGAAUUAGUGAAAAAAAGAAUCUGAGACUUGGAACCCAAAGGGCUGAUUUUAUCCCAACCACCUGGUGGGGCCCUUUUAAGCUGAGUGAUUGGAACAAAUGGGUGAAAUCCCCAAACUCUGGAACCUUCUCCAUUUGAUAGACUUUGGUUCGUCUCUGCAUGAUUUUGACAUUCUUUUUCUAUUUUGUGUGGCUGGCUUAGACCACAGUUCUAAAGUCAUUUUAUUUUAUUUUAUUCGUUUAUUUAUUUAUUUAUUUUUGAGACAGAGUCUCACUCUGUUGCCCAUGCUGGAGUGCAGUGGUGCAGUCUCACCUCACUGCAGCCAUGACCUCCUAAACUGAAGCAAUCCUCCUGCCUUAGCCUCCUGAGUAGCUGGAACCACAAGCAUGUGCCACUACACAUGGCUAAUUUAAACAAUUUUUUUUUUUUAGAGAUAGGGUCUCACUACGUUGCCCAGGCUGGUGUUUAACUCUUGGGCUCAAGCAAGCCUCUCACCUUAGCUUUCCAAAGUGCUACGAUUACAGGCAUGAGCUACCAUGCCCAGCCUCUGAAGACAUUUUAAAUGUCAUCCCAUGGAAUCCUAAAUUUCUCUUAUGCUUUUGACUUGGCCUAAAUGAUAUGGCUCCAAUGAGUGGAGGAACACCAGGGCUUUUGUCUCACAUUGAAUUAGGUAAAACAACUCAGACAUACGUGGAGUGGUUCUAAGGAGCAGACAGUUUAACAGGCAAGACAGUUAUGGAAGACGGCAGAAGGAAGACGCUCCCCCAUACAGAGACAGAGGGAGGGGGGCUCCAAAGCCAAAAGAGGAGACCCCAAGUGGAGCAGAAACCAGCCAGGUAUAUGUAGAGGCUGGAGGAGGCAGUGGUGUCUGAUUUGCAUAGGGCUCAGGGGAUUGGCUUGACCAGGCAUGUCAUUCAAGUAGCCCAUGAAAAAUCUGGCCCUCCUAAACUUAACUUUGAGACAUGCCACCCUACAGGAAUCUCCACGUGUUCAGCUAAUUGGAAGGUCUCUGAACCCAAACCUUUGGGUUUUUAUGGAAGCUUCAUUACAUAGGCAGGAUUGGUGUAAACUAAAAACAAAAUUCUAAGCCCCCAAAUUGACUGAACAGACAUCUCUUGGCCAAAGGGACCCCAGAGUAAACUUGAAAACUGAGUUCUCAGCUAUGAUGGGAUGGGGGAUCAGAACACCCUGUUAUUCCCUCCUUCACUAAUAAUGAUUGUGCUUUCUUCCCUAAAGGCGUAACAGAAACCAGACCUUCCAAAAUUUCUACCACUGAUAUCAACCAACCGCCUGAUGCUGCCCUUCCUGUUUUACCUGACCACCAACCAUGGAGUCAUUUUGGCCAGUCUACAGAGAAUGCACAGCAAGGGUUUUCAUGUCCUCUGUUUCACCUUUUGAUGUAAGAGGGCCAAAAACUCCACCCUCAGAUAAGCUCCACAGCUCCAUUUUUUGAACGGGGAGAAGCAUGAAGCUCAAUUGCACAUGCGUACAUUUCUCCCCUCAUAAAUAUUCAUUAGUUUCUGACAGCUUAUAGAUAUGUAUAUUUAGCCACGCUGCUCAGUAUAAAUUCAGGUUCCCUUAGCCCCUGCCUGAAAGUGUCUGUUUCUGGCUUCUGGGUGGAGACUACACUUCUCAGCCUGUCAGGAUGGCCAUCCUGCAGGAUGAGCUAUAAAGAGAAAAUAAAGCCCUCCUUUCCAAAUGUAUGAACCCCAUUAUUCUCCAGUUGACAUUGGUUAAAUCAUGGCCAUCAGUGAUUAGCUUAACCUUUAGCCCCUGUUCCCUCCAUGGAGGCUGGGGGAUGGGGCUAAAAAGUCCUAACCCUCUUACUCGUACCUUGGUCUUUCCUGUGACCAGCCCCAUCCUAAAGCUGCUUAAGGGCUUCCAGCCACAACUUAACAACACACAAAAAGACACUUACUGCUUUGGAGAUUCGUAAGACUUCAGGAGUUGUAGGUCAGGAAACAGGGAUGAAGACCAAAUAUACAUUUACAGUAUUACAGGUAAGUUACUUAACUUCUCUGGGCUCAAUUGACUGAUAUUUAUAAUGAGACUAAUACCAACUGGAGUUGCUAUGAGUACCAAGUGCUAAAGAAAGAAAGAUAGAUAGAUGGAUAGAUAGAUAGAUAGAUAGAUAGAUAGAUGAUAGAUAGAUAGAUCAUAGAUAGAUAGAUAGAUGAUAGAUAGAUAGAUGAUGGAUAGAUAGAUGAUAGAUAGAUAGAUAGAUAGAUGAUAGAUAGAUAGAUGAUAGAUAGAUCGAUAGAUGAUAGAUGAUAGAUAGAUAGGUGAUAGAUAGAUAGAUAGAUAGAUAGAUAGAUAGAUUCAUCAAAAUAAAUAAUCCCAGCUUUGGCAACACAGGGAGACCCAGUCUCUACCAAAAACUAAAACAUCAGUCAUCCAUGGUGGCUUGUGCCUGUGGUCCCAAUUACUUGGGAGGCUGAAGUAGGAGGAUCACCUGAUCCUAGGAGGUCAAGGCUGGAAUGAGCCAGGAGUGUGCCACUGGACUCCAGCCUGGAUGACAGAGUGAGACCCAAUCUCAAAAAAAAAAAAAAGAUUUUGUGUUUGGUACACACUUGUUGUUCAAUAAAUCACAGCACUUUUUUUUUUUUUUUUUUAAGUUGGGGUUUCACCAUGAUGGCCAGACUGGUCUUGAACUCCUGACCUCAGGUAAUCCACCCACCUUGGCCUCCCAAAGUGCUAGGAUUACAGGCGUGAGCCACCGCGCCCGGCCAGUCACAGCACUUUUUAAUUAAGAGAUUUACCCAAGGUCUAUCUUGUUAAGUGGCCUAGAACUUGAUGACUUCUUGCUUUGUAAGGUCCUAAGGGUAUUUCCCAUGUCAGCUGUGUGGUUUGUCUCAUCUCUCAGGUUCUGAGUUCUUCCAGGACAGGGAUAAUGUCUCCUACCUUUUUGAUUUAGUGGCCUGUAUCUAGAAUGACUUUACUUACAUACUAGUCCUCAGAAAUAAGAUACCAUUUAUUAUGUGAUAUUGAGUUUUCUACUCACUGGUAUAUGUAAAUGUUAAUAGAUUAGGCAAAUGUCUCUCUGACAUAAGUAAGCACUGUUUUCGACUUAUCUUCCAUCUCUAGGACCAACUCUCUCCUUAUAUGUCUGACCAGGGAGACCAUAAAACAGGACUUUUGUGAUGAAUCAUUCUAGUUUUAUGUUCAAAUGUUAUGAAAGAAAAUGCAACUUAUUGCAUCACAUGGAUAGGAAUGAAGGACAAUUUAACCUGAGCUAAACUGAGAGAUGCUGAAAACAUCUGAGGUUUUAUAUACACUAUUGUGUAUAUGUGUGCCUGUUUAAUGACACAUUAAGCAACUCAUUUCCUCUCUUAUUCCUCCACCCAUAUCUUGAGAACUGCCAAUUUUCCCUAUUAUUGUUUCCUGUUAAAUCCAUCCUCUUGCCUCCCAUCCCUUUGCAGGCUCUCAGCAUCCUUCACUUGCUAUGAAAUGUUCCUGCAGUGGCUCUCAGAUGUCAGUCCUACCUUCUGGAACCCAGGCUCCACCCUGGCACCAGAUCAGUGUCUCCAAAAUGCCAUGGACCUUGUCCCUGCUCUGCCACUCGGUCCUUCAAUACCGCCUUUUCUCUACCCACAUAGCUCUUUACUUAGAACAUAAGGCCCAACAACCUGGUGUUGAGCUCAGAACACUUUCACAUGCUGACUACUUUAAACCAAAGGAGAUUAGAAGGCCUCAGAAGCGAGGUCUCUCUGACCUGCUCCCAUCCUCCUGUCUCCCACCAGUCUUUCUCCUCUGAAGUGAUUCAUAGAAACCAGAAUUCCUCUUCCCCAAAGUGAGUCAUAGAAACUAGAACCCCUUUCCCCCAAAGAAAGCCAUAAAACCUAGAAAGGCCACUCCCUUUUCCUUCUCCCUUCUCCCUUCGAGACCCUCAUUUCAGAAGGGUCCUGCUCCAUCCCCACACAGAGAAGCCAAGAAAAAUCUGAACAGACAGGCCUUGCUGGAUUCCCCUCCCCUGUGCCAACCUCAGCUAUUACCAUUAGAUCGCACUCUUUUUGUCUAAUUAUAGUCCUACAUGGCUAGCCAUUCUUUUUUUUUAAGAACGGGUUUCACCACAUUGGUCAGGCUGGUCUUGAACUCCCAACCUCAGGUGAUCCACCCGCCUUGGCAUCCAAAGUGCUUGGAUUACAGGCGUGAGCCACCACGCCCAUCCAGCUGCUACCAUUCUUAAUUGAACCUAUACAUUAAAAGAGUUUUUCCUAGGUCAUGGGGUCUUUAUUUCUGAAGACUCCUAUAUCAUGUAAAACUUUGAUUAAAUAAACGUGUUAUGCUUUUCUCUUAUUAACCUGACUUUUGUUAUAGGAGUGUUGGCCAUGAUCCUUACCAUAAGUGAGAAAAGAUGUUACCUUUCUGCCCCUAUAGUUUCUGGCACCUAAAAUAGGAGUGGCUGAGACACCUAUUUGCUCUGGAGCCUGCAGAAUAGAUCCUGGGACAAUUGUCAAACAGCCGGCAAAGGAAAGCUCCUAUCUCCUCCAUUUGGUGAUCAGUGGAUGGAAAAUUACCAAAAGGAAACAUCAGAGAACUUGAUGGUUAACCUUUGGAAAUACAAGCUUCAAAGAGAUAAUGAUCAUCUGAAAGAGAACUAUUUAGAAACUGGUCGAAUAAAAAGUCUUAAACUCUUUUUCCACAAUACUUGGGAAAAAGCUUGAACUAUCUGAGCAGGUAGCCUCAACUUGUCCCAUUCACCAGAACUAGUUAGGAAGUCUUAAAUUAUCAGACCUGGCACAUAGGUAAAAGUUUUUGAAUGAAAGCUGUAAAAUCUGCUUCUGUCUAUAUGUUUAUACUAUUAAAUGUAAUAGAGACAUAUAAUUUUGCCUGGUUUACUGGUUAUACAUGUUUGUGUUCUCUGUUAAAUGGUUAAGACCAUAAAAGUGUAAAUUCAACCUAAGAGCAGAAUGCACACUAAAAAUAAAUUGCCUGAUGCAUGUCAGUCAAAGAGAAAAAAAAGAGAGGAAAGAACCACGUUUAGCUUUUUAGUUUCUUGGCUUCUGCAGUAUUUUUGUCACGUGCCUGAUUUACCAAUAACAACAAAAAAUACUUAAGAUAGUGGCCAGCUUUGUUUAAUGUUUCAUAAAAUUUUCAUUAACAGUUCAAGCAUAAUUGUUAAGAGUAACUAAAUUAAAUGAAUAUAAGUUGUAUAAAAGUUUAAGUGAGGUUUUAUUAAUAAUUAUUUAUAGAAUAUGUCUACUUUAACAUAAAAUCUUUUUGAUAACUUGAAACUUUAAAAUAAAAUUAAGUAAUAGACACCCAUUUAAUGUUUGAGUCAUUUCAAAGUAAGUUGAAAUAUUGAAACAUUAAUUAUUAAGCAUAAAUUUAAGUUUAUAUACUUUGUCAUCUUGUUUUUAUAUGCCAUAGAGAAAUGAAAUAUAUUUAGUCUGCUAAUAAACAUGAAAAAUUGAGGAAACGUGUCUCUAAUAAGUAUAAAAUGGUGAAUGCUGAUAUAAGACAGUUCAUAAUAUUUGCUAAUUUUCACCAGAAAUUAACUUUACUAAGAAUUUGAGAUUAGGCCAGGCACAGGCUCACGCCUGUAAUCCUAGCACUGUGGGAGGCCAAAGUGGGUGGAUCACCUGAGUUCAGGAGAUCAAGACCAACCUGGCCAUUAAUUUAUGUAUGUAAUUAGCCUAUUCAAAAUUAUAAGGGAAACAACAGUGUAUGCAACAAAAGAAAGCUGUGUCUGAUAAAGAAAGGUAUGUAGGAUGAAUUUUGUUUAAAAAAGAAAAGUUGAUGAAUAUUUUUUAAAAGUUACAAAAAGUUUGUGGAAACCUUAUCCUGUAUGAACAAAACUGAGUUAGAUUGGAUGAAUUUAUUUAAAAGGUUUUUAAAAUCAGCAAAGUUUCAGGAUAUAAAAUCAAUGUGCAAAAAUCACAAGCAUUCCUAUACACCAGUAACAGACUUAAAAUCAAGAACGAACUGCCAUUCACAAUUGCUACAAAGAGAAUAAAAUACCUAGGAAUACAACUUACAAGGAACGUAAGGGACCUCUUCAAGAAAAACUACAAACCACUGCUCAAUGAAAUAAGAGAGGACACAAACAGAUGGAGAAACAUUCCAUGUUCAUGGUUAGGAAGAAUCAAUAUCAUGAAAAUGGCUAUACUGCAAGUAAUUUACAGAAUCAAUGCUAUCCCCAUCAAGCUACCAUUGACUUUCUUCACAGAACUGGAAAAAACCACCUUGAACUUCAUAUGGAACCAAAAGAGAGCCCGCACAGCCAAGUCAAUUCUAAGCAAAAAGAACACAGUGUGAGGCAUCACACUAUUGGACUUCAAACUAUACUACAAGGCUACAAUAAUCAAAACAGCAUGGUACUGGUACCAAAACAAAGAUAUAGACCAAUGGAACAGAACAGAGGCAUCGGAGGCAACACAACAUCUCUACAACCGUACAAUCUUUGAUAAACCUGACAAAAACAAGCAAUGGGGAAAGGAUUCCCUGUUUAAUAAAUGGUGUUGGGAAAACUGGCUAGCCAUGUGCAGAAAGCAGAAACUGGACCCCUUCCUGACACCUUACACUAAAAUUAACUCCAGAUGGAUUAAAGACUUACACAUAAGACCUAACACCAUAAAAACCCUAGAAGAAAAUCUAGGCAAAAGCAUUCAGGACAUAGGAGUAGACAAGGACUUCAUGACCAAAACACAAAAAGCAUUGGCAACAAAAGCCAAAAUAGACAAAUGGGACCUAAUCAAACUCCACAGCUUCUGCACGGCAAAAGAAACAGUCACUAGAGUGAAUCAGCAACCAACAGAAUGGGAAAAAAUUUUUGCAGUUUACCCAUCUGACAAAGGGCUCAUAUCCAGAAUUUACAAAGAACUCAAACGGAUUUACAGGAAAAAAACAAACAAGCCCAUUCAAAAAUGGGCAAAGGAUAUGAACAGACACUUUACGAAAGAAGACAUAUAUGAGGCCAAUAAUCAUAUGAAAAAAUGCUCAUCAUCACUGGUCAUCAGAGAGAUGCAAAUCAAAACCACAUUGAGAUACCAUCUCACACCAGUUAGAAUGGCGAUCAUUAAAAAAAUCUGGAGACAACAGAUACUGGAGAGUAUGUGGAGAAAUAGGAACACUUUUACACUGUUGGUGGGAAUGUAAAUUAGUUCAACCAUUGUGGAAGACAGUGUGGCGAUUCCUCAAGGCCUUAGAAAUAGAAAUUCCAUUUGACCCAGCAAUCCCAUUACUGGGUAUAUACCCAAAGGACUAUAAAUCGUUCUACUAUAAGGACACAUGCACAUGAAUGUACAUUGCAGCACUGUUUACAAUAGCGAAGACCUGGAACCAACCCAAACGCCCAUCGAUGAUAGACUGGACUGGGAAAAUGAGGCACAUAUACACCAUGGAAUAUUAUGCAGCAAUCAAAAAUGAUGAGUUCAUGUCCUUUGUAGGGACAUGGAUGAAUCUGGAGAACAUCAUUCUCAGCAAACUGACACAGGAACAGAAAAUGAAAAACCGCAUAUUCUCACUCAUAGGCGGGUGAUGAACAAUGAGAACACAUGGACACAGCGAAGGGAGCACUACACACUGGGGUCU